AGCAAUUUAUCCAAACCACCCAAAACAUUGCACAGCAGUGGAUUAAAAUAAAACAAAUUCAAUAUUUCAUAGGAAAAAUUGGAAACAGAAAACAAUGAUUUUGAAACGAUGAGAUAAAAAUGGAAUGAUUAAAAACGUAAAUAACCCAUCAAUGCUUUAAAACCCUUUUCAAUCCCUAAUUAAAACCCAAUUCCGUUUGCAGCAUAGUAGCCGCAAGAAUUGUUUCAUCCUCUCCCCUGCUCUUCACGCCAAAAUCCCCCUUUCAACUUCGAUUUGGAUGAAGCGAAACAAAGAUGUCGAUGGCGCGCCACCGUUGGUGUUUGUGGAGCGCACGUGGAGGAGUCGGCCCCGAGACGUGCGGCGGCUGGAGGCUUUGCUGGAAGCGGGGAGGCUGAUGCUAGGGUUUCCUAACCCUUCCUUUUCCAUUAAUUUCGGGCCUGGGUUAGGAAUUAGCUAUUGGCUCGUUAUUGGAUUUGUAACAAAAUUGGACUGAAACAUUAGCCUUUGUUUCUGUUUGGUUUUUAUUUAUUUAACGGGCCGGGCAGAAAUUGGGCCCUACAAGAUAAGAAGGUUAAUUUUGUGGCA